rnacentral:rRNA from 1 species
UACAGAGGGUGCAAGCGUUAAUCGGAUUUACUGGGCGUAAAGGGCGCGUAGGUGGUAAAGCAAGUAAGAUGUGAAAGCCCUGGGCUUAACCUGGGAAGUGCAUCUUAAACUGCUUAACUAGAGUAUGGUAGAGGGUAGUGGAAUUUCCGGUGUAGCGGUGAAAUGCGUAGAGAUCGGAAGGAACGCCAGUGGUGAAGACGCUACCUGGACCAAUACUGACACUGAGGCGCGAAAGCGUGGGGAUCAAACAGG